GUGGAUGUAGCUCAGCAGGUAGAGCCCCGGAUUGUGGAUCCGGUGGUCGUGGGUUCAAGCCCCAUCAUCCACCCCA
rnacentral:tRNA from 2 species